AGAGUUUGAUCAUGGCUCAGAAUGAACGUUGGGCGGCGUGGAUUAGGCAUGCGAGUCGUGCGAGAACCGUAGCAAUACGGGGACAGCGGCGAAAGGGAGAGGAAACACGUGGAUACCUACCCUCAGGUUCAGGAUAGCUAUGGGAAACUAUAGGUAAUACUGAAUAAUAUCUCCGGAUCAAAGGUGUGAUUCCGCCGGAGGAGGGGUCCGCGUCCUAUUAGCUAGUUGGUGAGGUAAUGGCUCACCAAGGCGAAGAUGGGUACGGGAUGUGAGAACAUGAUCCCGCUCAUUGGGACUGAGACACUGCCCAGACACCUACGGGUGGCUGCAGUCGAGAAUCUUCGGCAAUGGGGGAAACCCUGACCGAGCGACGCCGCGUGUGAGAUGAAGGCCUUCGGGUUGUAAAUCACUGUCGUAGAGGAGGAAGUGUAGGUGGGUUCUCCCACUUAUUUGACCUAUUCUAGGAGGAAGGACGGGCUAAGUUCGUG
rnacentral:rRNA from 1 species